rnacentral:rRNA from 1 species
AUUGAACGCUGGCGGCAGGCCUAAUACAUGCAAGUCGAACGAGUGGCGGACGGGUGAGUAAUGGCUGGGCAACUGCCUGAUGGAGGGGGAUAACUACUGGAAACGGUAGCUAAUACCGCAUACCAUCGGAUGUGCCCACAUGGGAUUAGCUAGUAGGUGGGGUAAAGGCUCACCUAGGCGACGAGCCCUAGCUGGUCUGAGAGGGUGACCGGCCACACUGGAACUGAGACACGGUCCAGACUCCUACGGGAGGCAGCAGUGGGGAAUAUUGCACAAGGGGCGCAAGCCUGAUUCAGCCAUGCCGCGUGUGUGAAGAAGGCUUUCGGGUUGUAAAGUACUUUCGGCGGGGAGGCGUUACCCGCAGAAGAAGCACCGGCUAACUCCGUGCCAGCAGCCGCGGUAAUUC